GCUCGAGUAGCAGAGGGAACAUCUUAAGAGGGAAUCCCUCUAUGGGACAAGCUUCCUAGGCUUUGGACCACAGGCCUUCCAAUGCCUUUGAUGUACAUCAUGCUUCCGUGGUGUUGGGAGCUGCUGUAUGAAACAAUUUAUAGUACUUGGCAUCUUUCUAUGAAAUAUUUAUAGAGGACAGACUCCAAGGGAUGCAAGACAAAAGAGCUUGAAAUUAAAGUCUUCCUUUUCCA